UACGUAGGGGGCUAGCGUUGUCCGGAAUCAUUGGGCGUAAAGCGCGUGUAGGCGGCCCGGUAAGUCCGCUGUGAAAGUCGGGGGCUCAACCCUCGGAUGCCGGUGGAUACUGUCGGGCUCGAGUGCGGAAGAGGCGAGUGGAAUUCCUGGUGUAGCGGUGAAAUGCGCAGAUAUCAGGAGGAACACCGGUGGCGAAGGCGGAUCUCUGGGCCAUUACUGACGCUGAGGAGCGAAAGCGUGGGGAGCGAACAGG
rnacentral:rRNA from 1 species